CAUUACUGGUUACUGUGGUAUUCUACAGCUAAUACACGCAUCAAAGCUCCGACUUCGGAAGGAGUGCGUUAGUUACUUCAAACUGAUCGGUCUUCGGACUGCAAUCAAGUGAGAUUGAACUAUUUAGCUGAUCGCACGGUCUAUGAACCGGCGACAUAUCCUUCAAAUGUCUGCCUUAUCAACUUUGAUGGUAGAUUAUGCGCCUACCAUGGUUGUAACGGGUAACGGAGAAUCAGGGUUUGAUUCCGGAGAGGGAGCCUGAGAAAUGGCUACCACAUCCAAGGAAGGCAGCAGGCACGCAAAUUACCCACUCCCGGCACGGGGAGGUAGUGACGAAAAAUAACAAGCUGGUCUCAUUGAGUUCCGGCAUUGUAAUGGGAACAACUCAAAUCAUUUAUCGAGGAUCUAUUGGAGGGCAAGUCUGGUGCCAGCAGCCGCGGUAAUUCCAGCUCCAAUAGCGUAUAUUAAAGUUGUUGCGGUUAAAAAGCUCGUAGUUGGAUCUACGAUUAAGGCUCGUGGUCGUUCUUCUCGAAUGUACUGCGCAGUCUGGUCGAUUUAUCCGGUGAACGAUUGAUGCUCUUCAUUGAGUGUCUCUAGUUGCUGGAACGUUUACCUUGAAAAAAUUGAAGUGCUCAAAGCAGGCUCUUGCCUGAACAUUGCUGCAUGGGAUAAUUGAAUAGGACUUCGGUUCUAUUUUGUUGGUUUCGGAACGCGGAGUAAUGAUUAAUAGGGACAGACGGGGGCAUUCGUAUUGCUGCGUUAGAGGUGAAAUUCUUGGAUCGUAGCAAGACGACCUACUGCGAAAGCAUUGCCAAGAAGUUACAUAUU
rnacentral:rRNA from 1 species